rnacentral:snoRNA from 1 species
AUCCCAUGAUGUGGACACUUUUGCAACAUAUUCUUGAACCCAUUCUAGGCUUUAUCAAAAUUCUCCGAGUCGCCUUGGUGAAAAACAGAGAUGUCGUGCUUGAGCUU